rnacentral:rRNA from 1 species
GACGAACGCUGGCGGCGUGCCUAAUACCUGCAAGUAGAACGCACAGUUUAUACCGUAGCUUGCUACACCAUAGACUGUGAGUUGCGAACGGGUGAGUAACGCGUAGGUAACCUGCCUGGUAGCGGGGGAUAACUAUUGGAAACGAUAGCUAAUACCGCAUAAUAUUAAUUAUUGCAUGAUAAUUAAUUGAAAGGUGCAAUUGCACCACUACCAGAUGGACCUGCGUUGUAUUAGCUAGUAGGUGAGGUAACGGCUCACCUAGGCGACGAUACAUAGCCGACCUGAGAGGGUGAUCGGCCACACUGGGACUGAGACACGGCCCAGACUCCUACGGGAGGCAGCAGUAGGGAAUCUUCGGCAAUGGACGAAAGUCUGACCGAGCAACGCCGCGUGAGUGAAGAAGGGUUUCGGAUCGUAAAGCUCUGUUGUAAGAGAAGAACGGGUGUGAGAGUGGAAAGUUCACACUGUGACGGUAUCUUACCAGAAAGGGACGGCUAACUACGUG